AACAGGGUUGAUACACCACCUGAAAACAUGACAUCCACUUUUCCACAACAGGGUUGAUACACCACCUGAAAACAUGAGCUCAACUAAUGCAUCUUUGCUGAAGUUAUUCCCUUGAUUGCAGUACUGAAGCGUCUGCUAAGAAAAGGAGGUGCAAACAGACCAAGGCGUCAAAACAGCUAAAAGCACUCUAUUGGAGGCUGUUAACAAACGCUUUCAAGACACUGAGUCCAUUGCAACAGUACUAGAUCCUAGUACUAGAACAUUACUUCGACAUGGAGAAAAAGCAGCGUGUACGGGAAAUGAUACAGGCACAGUUGGAAGUGAUGGAAGUAUCUGGUGAAGGAGACUUGAUGCACAGCACAGACAAAAAGGGUGCCAAAGAAACGGUCACGACGUACAAAUGAUGAGGAGCACACUCCCUCGCUUUCUGACAUGUUUAACGAGAUUCUACAGGAAAGCAGCACCCCGAUCCACAGCAGUGCCACAACAAGUGCAGCUACGAAACAGCUGGAGAUUUACCUCGCCGAACUACCCAAUCCCCUUGAUCACUGGUGCAUGAACAAAGAUCGGCUUCCAUUGCUUGCACGGAUUGCACACAGAUAUUUAUCUGCCCCAAGCACCAGCACAGAGAUCGAGAGACUAUUCAGUGCAGCAUCUCAUGUUAUUGAUGAGAAGAGGAACCGUCUCUCCUGCGAGAAAGCUGAG